rnacentral:rRNA from 1 species
GACGAACCGUGCGAACGUUGUUCGGAAUCACUGGGCUUAAAGGGCGCGUAGGCGGGCCUCCCAGUCCGGGGUGAAAGCUUUCGGCUUAACCGGAAAAGUGCCUUGGAUACUGGAGGCCUGGAGGGGGGUAGGGGCAGCCGGAACUUCCGGUGGAGCGGUGAAAUGCGUUGAUAUCAGGAGGAACACCAAUAGCGAAGGCAGCUCGCUGGGACGGUACUGACGCUGAGGCGCGAAAGCGUGGGGAGCGAACAGG